ACUAAUUUGGCAGAUAAGUGCUUUAAAUUUAGAAUUUAAAAAUGUAAAUUAAAUACAGUUAGUA
rnacentral:tRNA from 1 species